CCCCAGUAACGGCGAGUGAAGCGGCAACAGCUCAAAUUUGAAAUCUGGCCCUUACGGGUCCGAGUUGUAAUUUGUAGAGGAUGCUUUUGGCAAGGCGCCGCCCGAGUUCCCUGGAACGGGACGCCACAGAGGGUGAGAGCCCCGUCUGGCUGGCCGCCGAGCCUCUGUAAAGCUCCUUCGACGAGUCGAGUAGUUUGGGAAUGCUGCUCAAAAUGGGAGGUAUAUGUCUUCUAAAGCUAAAUAUUGGCCAGAGACCGAUAGCGCACAAGUAGAGUGAUCGAAAGAUGAAAAGCACCUUGAAAAGAGGGUUAAAUAGUACGUGAAAUUGUUGAAAGGGAAGCGCUUGUGACCAGACUUGGGCGCGGCGGAUCAUCCGGGGUUCUCCCCGGUGCACUUCGCCGCGUCCAGGCCAGCAUCAGUUCGUCGCGGGGGAAAAAGGCUUCGGGAACGUGGCUCCCUCGGGAGUGUUAUAGCCCGUUGCGUAAUACCCUGCGGUGGACUGAGGACCGCGCAUCUGCAAGGAUGCUGGCGUAAUGGUCACCAGCGACCCGUCUUGAAACACGGACCAAGGAGUCGUCUUCGUAUGCGAGUGUUCGGGUGUCAAACCCCUACGCGUAAUGAAAGUGAACGCAGGUGAGAGCUUCGGCGCAUCAUCGACCGAUCCUGAUGUUCUCGGAUGGAUUUGAGUAAGAGCAUACGGGGCCGGACCCGAAAGAAGGUGAACUAUGCCUGUAUAGGGUGAAGCCAGAGGAAACUCUGGUGGAGGCUCGCAGCGGUUCUGACGUGCAAAUCGAUCGUCAAAUAUGGGCAUGGGGGCGAAAGACUAAUCGAACCUUCUAGUAGCUGGUUUCCGCCGAAGUUUCCCUCAGGAUAGCAGUGUUGAACUCAGUUUUAUGAGGUAAAGCGAAUGAUUAGGGACCCGGGGGCGCUAUAUUGCCUUCAUCCAUUCUCAAACUUUAAAUAUGUAAGAAGCCCUUGUUGCUUAAUUGAACGUGGGCAUUCGAAUGUAUCAACACUAGUGGGCCAUUUUUGGUAAGCAGAACUGGCGAUGCGGGAUGAACCGAACGCGAGGUUAAGGUGCCAGAGUAGACGCUCAUCAGACACCACAAAAGGCGUUAGUACAUCUUGACAGCAGGACGGUGGCCAUGGAAGUCGGAAUCCGCUAAGGACUGUGUAACAACUCACCUGCCGAA
rnacentral:rRNA from 1 species